CCUACGGGGUGCAGCAGUGAGGAAUAUUGGUCAAUGGGCGAGAGCCUGAACCAGCCAAGUCGCGUGAAGGAUGACGGCCCUACGGGUUGUAAACUUCUUUUGGCAGGGAGCAAUUGGGUCCACGCGUGGGCUUAGCGAGAGUACCUGAAGAAAACGCAUCGGCUAACUCCGUGCCAGCCGCCGCGGUAAUACGGGGGAUGCGAGCGUUAUCCGGAUUUAUUGGGUUUAAAGGGUGCGUAGGCGGAAUAUAAAGUCAGCGGUAAAAAUUCGGGGCUAAACCCCGUCGUGCCGUUGAAACUGAUGUUCUGGAGUGGGCGAGAAGUAGGCGGAAUGCGUGGUGUAGCGGUGAAAUGCAUAGAUAUCACGCAGAACUCCGAUUGCGAAGGCAGCAGACCGGCGCCCAACUGACGCUGAAGCACGAAAGCGUGGGUAUCGAACAGGAUUAGAUACCCCUGUAGUC
rnacentral:rRNA from 1 species